rnacentral:rRNA from 1 species
UACGUAGGGUGCAAGCGUUGUCCGGAAUUAUUGGGCGUAAAGAGCUCGUAGGUGGUCUGUUGCGUCGGCUGUGAAAACCCGAGGCUCAACCUCGGGCCUGCAGCCGAUACGGGCAGACUAGGGUUCGGCAGGGGAGACUGGAAUUCCUGGUGUAGCGGUGAAAUGCGCAGAUAUCAGGAGGAACACCGGUGGCGAAGGCGGGUCUCUGGGCCGAUACUGACACUGAGGAGCGAAAGCGUGGGGAGCGAACAGG